rnacentral:snoRNA from 1 species
CCCAUCGAUGAUGAUGAGCUCAUCUCCUACAUCACCGCCAGCCUCGACAUGGAGUACCAGCCCCUCGUCACCGUCAAUGACUCCAGCACCGACACCAUCAGCCUCGACAAUCUCUACACUCAGAUGAGCAACUUUGAUC